rnacentral:siRNA from 1 species
CUGCCGUGAUCGUGGUCUGCAG